rnacentral:rRNA from 1 species
UACGUAGGGUGCAAGCGUUAAUCGGAAUUACUGGGCGUAAAGCGUGCGCAGGCGGUGAUGUAAGACAGUUGUGAAAUCCCCGGGCUCAACCUGGGAACUGCAUCCGGGACUGCAUUGCUAGAGUAUGGGAGAGGGAAGCGGAAUUUCUGGUGUAGCAGUGAAAUGCGUAGAUAUCAGAAGGAACAUCAGUGGCGAAGGCGGCUUCCUGGACCAAUACUGACGAUCAGGUGCGAAAGCGUGGGGAGCAAACAGG